AUGGAUGAAGAGCAAUACCAAAAGAGUUCAAAAUCACCUGAAAAGAAGCUAAAGACAGUUGAAUUCAAGAAAAAGAAAUGCGUUAGGUUUCUGUUACCCCAUAAAGCUGACAAGGAAAAGAAACCCUCUUCCCUACGAGAUACAGAUGAGUCAAAGUUCAGAUGUGAAUGCCGCCACUGCCAGAUGUGUGGGGGGAACACAUCUGGGGUCUCUGUGGGAACUAGGACUGAAGCAGUCUCUCCGUCAUCCUCCUGGGAAAAGCUAACACUAGACCUCAGUAACUUGACACUCAACCCUCAUACCACCCAGCCCCAUCUUGUGCAAGACACCAUAUCCAAAGGAGAGAACAAAAUGCAGUGGCCAAGGAAAAACAAAAGGAUGUUUCAAAAGGUUCUCUACGAAUGGACAGAAUAA
ensembl:lincRNA